UACGUAGGGAGCAAGCGUUGUCCGGAAUCAUUGGGCGUAAAGCGCGUGUAGGCGGCUUGGCAAGUCUGCUCUGAAAGCCCGGGGCUCAACCCCGGGAGGCGGGUGGAUACUGUCAAGCUCGAGUCCGGAAGAGGCGAGUGGAAUUCCUGGUGUAGCGGUGAAAUGCGCAGAUAUCAGGAGGAACACCAAUGGCGAAGGCAGCUCGCUGGGACGUGACUGACGCUGAGACGCGAAAGCGUGGGGAGCAAACAGG
rnacentral:rRNA from 1 species